AGUGAACGCUGGCGGUAGGCCUAACACAUGCAAGUCGAACGGCAGCACAGUAAGAGCUUGCUCUUACGGGUGGCGAGUGGCGGACGGGUGAGGAAUACAUCGGAAUCUACUUUUUCGUGGGGGAUAACGUAGGGAAACUUACGCUAAUACCGCAUACGACCUACGGGUGAAAGCAGGGGAUCUUCGGACCCUGCGCGAUUGAAUGAGCCGAUGUCGGAUUAGCUAGUUGGCGGGGUAAAGGCCCACCAAGGCGACGAUCCGUAGCUGGUCUGAGAGGAGGAUCAGCCACACUAGGACAAGAGCGCCGUCCCGACGCCUACGGGAGGCGGCAGUGGGGGAUAAUGGACGAUGGGGGGAAAGCUGGUCCAACCAUAACGCGGGGGGGGAGAAGGCCUUCGGGGUUGUAAACCCUUUUUUUGGGGAAAAAAAAAAGCAGGUUGAUAACCCCCCGGUUUUCCGGGGCCAAAAAAAGAAGCACCCGCUGACUUCUUG
rnacentral:rRNA from 1 species